AGAUCUUGGAUUUCCACUAUAUUAUUAAUAGACUUUACUCAAUGUUUUUAGUCAUUUACUUUGCUACUGUAUGCGAUAUACAGAAAUGAAUGUUAAACAUGACAAGUAUAAGAUUUGUAAGUUGGUCUCCGGUAACCCUUUUUCUUUUCUACUAAAGAACAGAAAAAUGAGAAAACUGAUCCCAAAUACGUUAUUUAUUUGAAUUAUAUAUUAAUUCAUUAGGAUCGAAGGCAUACAUUCGUUGCUCCAAAGUGUUUCGUCUUAUUAGAUUCCAAUGACUAAAUAUCAUUCUGCAUUUUGGCCAAAAAAGUUGUUUAGAUUAAUUUUGUUAUAUUUUCCGACUCCUUUUUCAAAAAUGCUGGAAUUCUUUCAAUCGAACUCUUAACAUUAUAUUUAAAUCGACAGCAAAUAUAUUGGGUAUGGAAGAUUGAAAACGAAAUGUAGAUAUUAAUUGAGCGACCUAGUAGAUUGUUAUAUUUUAACUUACGUAAGCAACUUAAAAAUGUAUUAAUUUAUUAGAGUUAAUAUGACAAAUCCGUUUUUAAUAAAAAAAAAAAUCCCGCCUUUUAUACGUUUGAUUUGUACGAUAUCAUUUUAUUCCAUCUACUGUGAGAAGUCUCAUUCCAUCUAUCCUAGUCUAUAAAUUAAAUGUUAUAUACCUCGGAAUUUUCUUCAUUGAGUCUAUUACCCACAACAUACAGAGUUUAUGCCAACAAACAGUCUGACAAGAUUACCGGAUUUGCCUCGUGUUUCCGUGAAGUGACACUUUUUACUAGAUAUGAAAACAUAUUCAUCAAAGAUACCAGUACACUAGGCAUGCGUUUCGUUUAUUUAAAAAAUCACAAGUUGUUCUCCUAUCAAAGUUAUCAAUGACGGAGUUGAUGAGCACUGAAAACAAAAAGUUGCAAAAAAUGUUUGUCAAAACUUCAUAACAAACAUAAUAGCUGACCGAAUAAAGUACUACUGAUUAAAUAAAUGUAUUCAUGAUAUAACAACAGUGAAUUUUUGAAAUUACUGUUUUGUUGUCUAUCUCUUUUAGAAUCAGAAUAUAUCUCGCAUGUUCCUCCUCUUGUGCAUAUUACCAGUGUUAGGCCUGGCAAUGAACACGGAUAAACAAUGUCCAAAGAAUUACAUUGUGCGGUCAUCCUGGAAGAACAAAACUGAACAAGAUCAUUAUUGCUGUAAGAAGUUAGAGAAAAACUGUACAGCAGG
rnacentral:lncRNA from 1 species